GAGGGUUUGGAUGGGGUUAAAUGAUUAAAGAAUAAUGCCCUUAAAAAAUGAAGAUUAGAGAAUAACGGGCAAAAAAAUUGAAGAUUAGAGAAAAAAGGGGUUUAUUUUUUGAAGAUUAGAGAAAAAAGGGGUUAAUUUUUUGAAGAUUAGAGAAAAAAGGGGUGAAAAUUAAAUGUUUACAGAAUAACAGACCCCCCUCCCCCCAUCCAGACCUCAUGAUUCAGUGAUUCCCUAUAAUAAACCAAAUUUUUCCUACAAAAGGGG
rnacentral:lncRNA from 1 species